UGAAAAUUAAAUAAAAUCAAAUCCCAGACGAAUUAUCGGGAUUCAUUUAAUAAGUGUUUAGUUAUUUUAUGCCAGUGCCACGUGCCAGUGCGGCUAGUACCAAAUUAUGUAAGCGGCUAGCACCAGUUUUUUUAAUCGGCUAGUACAGGAUUAUGUAAUCGUCUAGCACCCUAUUAUGCAACCGGCUAUCUGGAGGCCGAAAUGGAUGAAAUAUGGGAAUUAACUAGUGCAGAGAUUCGACGCGGGAUCGCAAUCUUUUGAUAAAUAUUUUUUUGGAUUCGACGACAAGCCCUUUUCGCUACACGGAGAGAAAACUCCAGCGAAUUAUUGAUAAAUUUCUAUUCCUGUCCUUGAGCUCAACGGCGGCGAACAUCGG
rnacentral:sRNA from 1 species